rnacentral:rRNA from 1 species
AUUGAACGCUGGCGGCAUGCCUUACACAUGCAAGUCGAACGGUAACAGGUUAAGCUGACGAGUGGCGAACGGGUGAGUAACACAUCGGAACGUGCCCAAUCGUGGGGGAUAACGUAGCGAAAGCUACGCUAAUACCGCAUACGAUCUACGGAUGAAAGCGGGGGAUCGCAAGACCUCGCGCGAAUGGAGCGGCCGAUGGCAGAUUAGGUAGUUGGUGGGGUAAAGGCUCACCAAGCCGACGAUCUGUAGCUGGUCUGAGAGGACGACCAGCCACACUGGGACUGAGACACGGCCCAGACUCCUACGGGAGGCAGCAGUGGGGAAUUUUGGACAAUGGGCGCAAGCCUGAUCCAGCAAUGCCGCGUGCAGGAUGAAGGCCUCGGUUGUAACUAGCUUUGUACGGUAACGAAACGGUACCUUCUAAUACAGGGGCUAAUGACGGUACCGUAAGAAUAAGCACCGGCUAACUACGUGCCAGCAGCCGCGGUAA